UCUAAGCCUCUGCACCUGUCACAGGGGAGGGAGGGCCUGUGGGGCUGCCCUAGGCCUGGGCAGGAAGGGCUGGCCUUAUGGAGGCCAGGGCUGCUUGUGAGACUGCUCAGCAAAAACUCACAGAAGAAAUGAGAGUGGAGCACUAUGUGGAGGUCAAAAAAAGGCAACUUGCAGCAGUCACUUCUUUUCUUCCACCAUGUGGGUCCCAGGGAUUGAAUUCAGGUUAACCAAGUUCAACCAUUCAACUGCUUCCAAAGCAAAACUACAACCCUUGGAAGCCUAGCAGUGCCAACCCAAACUUCCCCACCUGGCUCCUAGUCAGCAUGAAGGGCGGGGCCAGUGCGCGAGGAGGCGGGGCCGGCGUGAACGCCCCGCCCCCGGCAGCCACAGUAGUCCGACAACCCCCCGCGUUGAGCCC